UCCAGUAUGGUGUAUCGGUUAACAUAUGUGCUUUUCAUUCACUGUACACGCGAAAUUUAUACGCACGUGCGCGGGGUUCGACUCCCCGUACCAGAA